CAAAAUUAUGACACAAUUGCCAGCGGUAAAAAUAAUAACUGGCAUGUACACUGGUCAGUUAUUGCGAAUGACUUGAAGUAUGGUGGAGAAGUGAAAAAUAGAAAUGAUGAAUUAUUAUUCUAUAGAAAUACGAGAAUUGCUACUGUUGAAAACCCUGAACUAAGCUUUGCUUCAAAAUAUAGAUACCCAGCAUUAGUAAGAAGUGGCUUUAAUCCAGAAUUUUUAACUUAUUUAUCUAAUGA
rnacentral:sRNA from 1 species